GGGGUUGUAGCUCAGUGGUAGAGCUUGCCUUGCACGCAUGAACCCUGGGUUCGAUCCUCAGCACCA
rnacentral:tRNA from 1 species